rnacentral:sRNA from 12 species
AUAAGUUAGACCAAGUAACUUAAAAAAGUGAAGCAAUACUUUUGUGAAAGGAGAGCUUGUUCCUGAGUUUUUGAAAAAAACCAAAAAAAAUCUUCGAUGUAGAUGGCUGGACGCUGCUUGCAUGGUUGAUAAUGUAUAUCAAUUUCAUAGCCAGUUCUACUUCGCGAUAAGUACGGAGGUUAAUAAAAUAUGACAAGUGAG